AUGUGGUUUGUCCAUAAACAGGUAAUUUUAACAAAGGACAACUUGGUCAAGCGCAAUUGGACUGGAUCUACUAGGUGUAGCUUCUGUGAUCAUGAUGAGACCAUUAAGCAUCUCUUCCUUGAUUGUCCUUUGGCGAGAAUUCGGUGGCGCUCUGUGCAAAUUGCUUUUAACAUUACUCCUCCGAGUACGGUUGUGUCAUUAUUUGGAACGUGGCUGGAUGGGAUAGAGUCCGAUACAGCUAGGCAUAUUCGUGUAGGAGUGUAUGCGUUGUUAUGGGCAAUUUGGAACUGCAGAAAUGACUUGGUUUUUAACAGAAUAACUACUACUCAUUUUUUGCAGGUUGUAUUCCAUGCUACGGCGCUGAUCCGUAUGUGGUCCUUACUCACUCCGACGAAGGCCAGGGAGCGUUUGGUUACUGGAUCUGUCCGGUGGGAGAUGGUAGCACGGGAUAUCUUCAACCGGUUUGGUUGGCGGUCAUGUAAUAUGAUAAUCAAUUAG
rnacentral:rRNA from 1 species